UUCAAAUAAUUCAAAAUCUAACUACAGAGAAAACGAAUUUAGAAAUCUAAUUAGUCUUAACAAAGCUCAAAGCAAACGUUAACUCAGAACAUGUCUGUGCCGCAUACUUAGUAAGAGCUUGCUACCAAUCUAUUGCUGUGUAACAAAACAUCCCAAAACUUUGUGGCUUAAGACAAUCACCAUUUUACAUUUUCUCCCAGUUCCAUGUGGCCUAGGCUCUGCCAGGUGGUUUCUGGGCACCUCAUGACACUGGCUGGGGCUGCUGUCACGUGAUGGGGCUCUCCUGGGCUGGGCCUCCAAACUGGCUCCACACAUGGCCAGUGUGAGUGUGCUGGCCCUCAUGGGCAGAGUGCUCAGCUUCGGGUCCCCAGCGAGUCUACGCCCAGGCCCUCCUGCUGGCUUGGGCAUCUCAAGGCACAGUGGUUAGGGUCCAAGAAGGAGCCCCCUGACUUGGUCUCUUAUGGGCUUCUAAUAAAAUGCUUAGACCAGGCCAUUUCUAAACAAUAGGCACUUAUUGCUGACAGUUCUGGACGUUGGGAAGUUUAAGAUGAAGGCAGUUUUGGUGUCUGGUGAGGUUUUGCUCUCUGAAUCAAAGGUGGCACCUUUUGGCUGCAUGCUCGAAUGGCAGAAGGGUCAAGUCCGAAUCACCCCAGGCUCUUUUAUAAAAGCAAAAAUUGGCGGGGUGCAAUGGCUCAUGCCUGUAAUCCCAACACUUUGGGAGGCUGAAGCGGGUGGGUCACAAGGUCAGGAGAUUGUUAGACUAUCUUGUUAGACUAUCUUGGCUAACAUGGUGAAACCCUGUGUCUACUAAAAAUACAAAAACUUGGCCAGGCAUGGUGGUGGGCACCUGUAGUCCCAGCUACUCAGGAGGCUGAGGCAGGAGAAUCACUUGAACCUGGGAGGUGGAAGUUGCAAUGAGCCGAGAUCACACCACUGCACUCCAGCCUUGGUGACAGAGCAAGACACUUUUGAAAGAAAAGAAAAGAACGAAGGAAGGAAGGAGAAAGAAAGGAAGAAAAAAAGAAAGAGGAAAACUGAAUGUCACAGGUGCACCGCACAUUGGUGGAGACGUGGGGAAUUGUGAAUGGAAAGAGGGUCUGCCUCCUAGCCCCACUCCCCACCCUGCAGGACCCCUGGGAGGUGAUGCAGAGCCCCCGGGCUCGGGUCCCUGCUGAGUGGGUGUGGCUGCGGGGUGCUCCCUGUGCUGCAUCCUGAACCCGGAACUUGCCUGGGAGUUUUUUCCCCUUGCACCUGCCCGGGCUUCCUCCAGUCACUGGCUCCUAGAGGCUUUUUCUUGCCCACUCUGUCUACAGUUUUGACUCUCCACCCUCACCCACUGUAGCCUCUGCUGUAAACGUUUUCUCUGCAGCAGUCAGGCGCUGGUGCCCAUGAGGCAGGGUUUGGUCUGUCUUGCUCAGCCACUGUUUUCUCAGGGCGUGGAGCGCUGCCUCAUGGGCACCAGUAAGUGCGUAGAGCUCUUGUGGGACUGUGUGCACACGAAGCUGCUCUCCCAACCUUUACUCUCCAAGGGGAGAGGAGGGGAGAAAUUGCCCUAAUUCUUCUACUUCCUCUGCAGACCCAGAGUCUCCCAGGUCUGAAAGGGAAGGACGGGACUCAGAGGCCAGCUUCCCGCCCCGCACCCACACCUAAAGAAUCCCAGUCUCCAGCACCUGCCCUUCCCCGCACUCCAGCGGAUUCUGAUCACAGCAGGUGUGGGGCUGCCCCUGGCCUCAUCUCCAGGUCUGCAGGUUCUGCACUCCCUGCAGCUCUUCCCAGGUGGCGGCGCAAGGUGAGGCUGCUGAGCGGAACUCUCCUCCCAGAGCCCCUGGGUCCCCACCAGCGGCUGCCCACCACCAGCCCCACCCCAAGAUCAAGACCAAGUUCCUCGGGCAGGCACCUCUCCUGGCUGCCAGGAAAGUGACAUGCAGGUGGGCCCUCUGAUGCCAGAUUCAGACUUCUCUGUCAGAGGCGACUGUUAACAUCACCCAGGUCAGCCUCAACCUCCCAGGCUCAAACAAUCCUCUCACCCAAGCAUCCCAAGUAGCUGGAACUACAGGCGUGCGCCACUAUACCUGGCAAACUUUUUGUAUUUUUGUAGAGACAGCAGGGGUUGUGGGGUGGGAGGUGUCUCACGAUGCUGCCCAGGCUGGUCUCAAAGUCCUGGACUUGAGCAGUCCUCCCGCCUCAGCCUCACAAAGUGCUGAGAUUACAGGCAUGAGCCACCACACCUGGCCUCACCUGGGGUUUUUACAUAAUACCCAUACCUGGGUUCCACCUGGGCCAAUUAAGCCAGAGCCCCUGGGGUGACGCCAGGGCCUGGGUAUUUGCUCUAUUCACUUUUAUGUAUGUAUUUGUCAGCUCGCCCAGUGAUCCUGGCAUUCAGUCAGGGCAGGGAACUAUUGGGAAAGACUCAGGGGCUCUCAGCCCGGGGCAUGGUGCUCCCAGGGGACAGGUGGCAGUGUUGGGAGAUAUAUUGGUUGUCAUGACUUUGAGGGACGGUGCUCCUGGCACCUCGGAGGCAGAGGCCAGGGAUGGUUCUCAGCACCCACAGUGCGCAGGACAGCCCCAGCACAAAGGGUGACCAGCAGAGAUGCCCACGGCGCAGACACUGGGAAACUGAUGCGGGAGGGCAAACCCACUGUUCUCUCGGCAGCAGCCUCCUGGGGGAGGAGGCAGAUUAAACCGGAUUCUUUCCAUUCCUCAUCUCAGUCUGUAUAGUUGACAAAACACAUCUUCCUUGGCCUUGGCUCAUUAGUGCAGCAUCCCCUCCCCCAGGGCUGAGGCAGGAGCCAAACUCCCCAGGGAUGAGCGACUCCUGUCUCCUCCGCUGGGGGCAGGAGAGCGCAGGAGUGGAGACCGGCUGUCUCCACUCCUCGAUGGCUGGGAGACCCACAACCUGUGACCUCCCUAAGCCCAGGGCACCACACCUGGGAGGGUUGCCACGAACAGGCCACCUGCUCGGUGAGGGCUGCCUGCACAGUUGGCGUCAGGUUAAAUACAGAACCUGAUAAAUAAGUAAAUCCCAGGUUCUCUUUUGAGGAAACUGAGGCCCAGAGACAAGCUCAUCUUCAUCAGUGUCACCCCUUCUGCAUCCUUCCAGAACAAGAAGGCAGGGUGAGGGUGCCUGCCUGUCUGUCAUCCCUAGGGACUUCCGCGACACUAUUAGAGGAGACAGUUCAUAGUGGCUCUGCCUCAAAGCUCCCUGGGGAGGAGCAGGACAUGCGACCCUCAGCAGCCCAGGAAAAGGCCCCUUGGGACCUUCAGGAGGGGCUGCACUUUCCCAGAGACCCGCUGACUCCUUGAAGGGCUGGGGCACAGGGAGCCCCUGGGAAGGGCAGGAAGCAGCAGUGCAGGGAGACAGAUAUUAAGCACAUCUUUGCCCAAUCCCGAAAGGGAACCUGGCUCCAGGGCAGGCACAGCUGGGUUGUGAGGUGACCCAUGGAGGAGGGAGUGCUGUGCUGUAGGGUCUCAGAGCCUUGGUUCUUAGUCGCCUAGGUUUGUCCAUCUCAGUUCCUCAAGAGCCUAGAUCUGAUCACUGCCUCCCCACACCCAAAGGGUCGGCACACAGCCAGGCAUGAUGAUUUGCCCACAGCCAGCUUGCUGAGCCCCCUCCCCCUCGUGCCCUGAAGCCUCUGAGCUCUUCCUGGCUUUCUAAGCCCUCCCCCAGGGAUGUGCCCUCAGCAGGGAGCCUCCUGCACCCCCCCAGUCCUGCAGCUGGGGCAGCAGCUUUCAUGGGCACACCCACCAGCCCAGCACGGGCCAGCGGCAGGUCCCAUCCUGCCUCUGGAGGGUGGAGAUGAGUAGAAGGAAGGUCCUGCCCCAGGCCUACCCUUGUCUUUGUUAGAGGGAUGGGAGUGGGGCCCAUGAUCCAUUUCUGCCUGUCAGGGUAACCUGAAGAUCACCCCAUUUUUGGCAAUGGCUCAAGCAGCAGUACACGGCUAAGACGAUGACUCCAUUUCCUGCAACUCUUUGCCACAUUCACUAAGGCAAUGUCACUUUCCUGCUCUGUGACUCAGUUUCCCCUCCUAAGACUCCAGAAAUAUACAGGGCCCAGGGUGUGGAGACCUUGGGCUUGUAGGGUCGGGAGGGUACCACAGGCUUAUGACAAUGACAUGGAAAGCACAGGGCAGGCAUCUUUGUGUUCCUCCUACCCCACUGGGCAGAUGUCCGCAGAGGCCUCCACACAGGUGGGGCUGACUGAGGGUGUGUGCCUCCUAAGAAGCCCAUCUGGACAAAAGACUUCUGUGUCCACACUGCGGGGAGCUGGGGGUUCCUCUCGCGGGUGCUCAAGGUCAGCACCAAACACCUGCAGCCGCCCAGGGGGCUCAGAAGCAAGCCCUGACCUCCUUGUAGACUGGACCCCCAGGUUUACCCGAAAAUGGGGUGCAAAGGCUUGCGUGGAGCAAAAGGGAACGCGCACAGCUGGAGCGACAGGGAAGGGGCACUGCCUACCAGUCCCUGGGGUCAUGCACCACCGGAGGGCGGCUGCAGAUGGCCAGAUGGGGGAGCUCCCUGUUCUCGCCUCCACUCUUCACAUCUGGGCGGCGGGGUUCACUGAAGCCGAGACCCCCAGUAUAGAAGAAACCCUGGUGCUCCGUUUCACCACCCAGGGCUGGGCAGGGUCGCAGGGAGCCCGGCACCCAGCCCCGGAGAGGGGCGCACCGUGGGGAGCCCUACGGACCGCGGUCCAAACUUUCCCCGGGACGGCCCAGGGCCUGGCGGGAGGAACCAGGCGAGCAGCGAAGGGUCGGGACAGCCGCCGAAGGCUCCGGGCGGGUCCUGGCACGCUCCAGGGAGGCGGCGGGCGGGUCCGCUCCGCCCCGCGCCGGACCGGUGCAAUCCCGGCGCCCGCGGCCCGGCGGCUGCAGUCAGCGCCGCCCUCCAGGAGUGGGGCGGGACCGCGGGAGGCGCGCGGCGGCCCGAGCGCCGGCCGGGCCAUGACCCCCGCUGUUCUCUCUUGCAGGCUCGUCGCCGCGGCCCCCCGAGCCCGGCCGCAGCCGCCACCGCCACCAGCGCCCGGGCGUGCCCCGCGCGCGGCUCCGCAGUAAGCCCACCAGGAAGGAAGUGGCCUGUGGAGACGCCGACAUGGGGCUCAACAUGUCCUGCCUGAAAGGGAAGGGACCCAGGUCAAAGAGGAAAGGGAAGGUGCUCACAGGGCAGAUCCCAGGAGGCCCCAGGCACAGGCUCCUACCGUCCCUCCCCGUGGAGCUGUGGACAGCGCCCACUCCUCCCGCCGAUGACGAUGGUGUGUGAUGGCACGGAGCAUCGCCAGGUGGGAAGCCCCUGGCCUCAGUGGCCACAGUUCUUAUGGGGCAUUAUGGGCUGAACUCUGUCUCCCAAAAAUUCCUAAAUAAUCCUCCUGGCCCCAAGGGCCUCAGAAUGUGACCUUGUUGGGAGUAGUGUCUUUGCAGGUGUACUGAGCUGAGAUGAGGUUAUUUUAGUAGUGUGAGCUCCUAAUACAAAAGGACGAGUGUCUUUAUCAAAAGGGGAGAUCUGGGCCGGGCUUGGUGGCUCAUGCUUGUAAUUUCAGAACUUUGGGAGGCCGAGGCGGGCGGAUCACCUGACGUCAGGAGUUUGAGACCAGCCUGGCCAACACAGUGAAAUUCUGUCUCUACUAAAAAUACAAAAAUUAGCUGGACGUGGUGGCACAUGCCUGUAAUCACAGCUACUCGGGAGGCUGAGACAGGAGAAUUACUUGAACUCAAGAGGUGGAGGUUGCGGUGAGCCAAGAUCAUCCCGCUGUACUCCCGCCUGGGCAACAGACUGAGAUCCAUCUAAAAAACAAAAAGGAGAAAUCUGGACAGAGACAGGACACAGGGAGAAACAGUAUGAAGGCAAGAGGCAGAGGUGGGUGAUGCUUCUACAAGCCUAGGAACGCCAGAUUGUCAGCAGCCACCAGAAGCCAGGAGAGGGGCCUGGAACAGUCUCCCUUGCAGCCUCCAGAGGAUCCAGCCCUGCCGACACCUGGAUCUGGAACUUCUGACCUCUGGAUCUGUCAGACAAUGAAUGUCCUUUGUUCCAGCCCCCCGGUUUGCUGUGGCAACCGCAGGAGACGAAGGCAUGGGGGCUUCUCUGGAGGCUGAUUGAUUGCUCACUUGGAGCUCAGGCUGCAGGCUGCCGUCUCUCUGGGCAUGACCCAGGGCCCCCACCAUCAAUCACAUCUUUGGAAGCCAGGUAUAACCAAGGCCCCGGCAAACAAAGACUCUCCUAUCAAGCAGGAUAUUCCAAGGGCUGAGAGAGCACCUCCCAGAAACUGCGGACAGAAAUCAACCUCUUUUUAGGCAAGGUUAAAUUCUUUUUCUUUUUUUCUCUUUUUUGAGAUGGAGUUUCGCUCUCGUUGCCCAGGCUGGAGUGCAGUGGCGCGAUCUCGGCUCACUGCAACCUCUGUCUCCUGGGUUCAAGUGAUUCUCCUGCCUCAGCCCACUGAGUAGCUGGGACUACAGCCACCUGCCACCAUGCCCAGCUAAUUUUUUGUAUUUUUAUUAGAGAUAGGGUUUCACCAUCUUGGCCAGGCUGGUCUUGAACUCCUGAUUUCAGGGGAUCCAUCUGCCUCGGCCUCCCAAAGUGCUGGGCCAGAUUCUUUACUAUGCACAGGGUCCAGAGAGGAGAUGCAGUGCACCCAGGGUCACACAGCUGGUGGCCUGAUUCCAAAGUCAGUGUGUGUGCUGCCUUCAGUUUUUCUGAGCCUACAGCUUUCAUCAAGGGGCAAGUGAACCAAGAGUUUGGCCUGAAUGGCAUGGCUUCAGGUCCCCUAGGUGCACAUGCUUUCUGUGGAUUCAAACAGACUGUCCCGGACAGCCCAGAGGUAACCUGCCCCUCAGAGGAACACCCCUUUGGUGAACAAAGGUUGCCCUGAGAAGCCCCCUGUGAUUUCACAUACCACAGCCAGGUAUGCGAUCCCCACUGUGCACCUGCCAUCCCUUCCUCCCGAGGUCAGGGAAAGAUUUGCUGACUCUGUCGGUAAUCUAUCAUUGCUUAACAAACUAUGCCAAAACGUUGAGGCUUCAACAUCAAGCUUUUAUUAUCUCAGAGUUUCUGUGGGUCAGGAAUUGAGGAGUGGCUUAGCUGCCUGGUUCUGGCUCAGGGUCAAUCAGCCAGGGCUAUAGUCUCAUCUGGUGGCUGGACUGGGGCUGGAGGCUCAUCUGGUGGCUGGACUGGGGCUGGAGGCUCAUCUGAUGGCUGGACUGGGGCUGGAGGCUCUGCUGCUGAGGUGCCUCCCUCAUGGCUGUUGGCUCAAGGUCUUAAUUCCUCACCCGCAUGGGCUUCUCCAUAGGCCACUUGAGCAUCCUCAUAACAUGGCGGCUGGCUUCCCCAAGAGCAAGCAGUCUAAGAGAGAGCAAGAAGGAAGUUGCCAUGUCUUUCAUGACCUCACCUUGGAAGUCUCGCACCAUCAUGUCUGUCCUAUUUUGUUUGUUGGAAGCAAGUCACUAAGUCCAUCUUACACUCCACCUCGUAGGGCCGUAGUUUAGAACCUCCACACUGACCCUACGAUGGUCACUUAGGAACAUUGCCCUGAUGGUGGUCACGGGAGGCCUGAGAACAUUAGGAAAAAUAGGUCCCCCCAACCCCUUAUACUCAGCGCCUCCUGUUGGUCAGGGGCUCUGGUGCUUGAGCUAAUUUAAUCCUAGCCUGGCACUGUUUGGGGCAAUCCCCAGAGUGACGGGUGUAGAGACAAAGACUGAUGGUUUUGGUUGCAUUUAAAUGUUAUUUUAUUUUUUUUUUUUUUUUUGAGAUGGAGUCUCACUCUGUCGCCAGGCUGGAGUGCACUAGUGUGAUCUCGGCUCACUACAACCUCCGCCUCCCAGAUUCAAGCAAUUCUCCUGCCUCAGCCUCCCGAGUAGCUGGGACUACAGGCAUCCACCACCAUGCCCGGCUAAUUUUUGGAUUUUUAGUAGAGAUGGUGUUUCACCACUUUGGCCAAGAUGUUCUCAAUCUCUUGACCCCGUGAUCCACCCACCUUGGCCUCCCAAAGUGCUGGGAUUACAGGUGUGAGCCACCUCAACACCCCCCCCCCCCCGACUUUUUUAAAAAAUUAAGACAGAGUCUUACUCUGUCACCUAGGCUGGAGUGCAGUGGAACAAUCUCAGCUCACUGCAACCUCCACCUCCCGGGUUCAAGUGAUUCUCUUCCUGCUUCAGCCUACCGAGUAGCUGGGAUUACAGGUGUGCACCACCACACCAGGCUAAUUUUUGUCUUUUUAGUAGAGGCAAGUCUUCACCAUGUUGGUGAGGCUGGUCCCCUACUCCUGACCUCAGGCGAUAUACCCACCUCGGCCUCCCAAAGUGCUGGGAUUACAGGUGUGAGCCACCACUCCCGGCCAGCAUUUAGAAUGUAAAGCACUCCUACUUACUCUGUCAUGAGCAUGUCCUAGGCUCAAGGGAAACACAGGUGAAUGAAGUAGUGACUGUCCUCCUGGUGUUCACAGCAAAGAGCGACAGAAACGAAAAAAAAAAAAAUCAUUGAUGAAUGAGUGAGUGCAGAUGGGCAAAAGCGGGAGCCGCAGGUCUGCUGGGGUGCCUUUCCCAGGGAAGAGCCUGGCGCACUGGGCUUUGAAGGAUAAGGAGGAGCUUGUUACUCUGGCAGAGAAAGAAAGAGCGUCCCAGGCCAGGGGAACAGCAUAUGCAAAGGCAUGAAGGGGCCCAGGGAGCCGGGGAGUCUGGGGAAGUAUGAGUGCUUUGGAGUAUAGGGGCUGAUGGCUGCAGGUGAAGCUGGAACUAGCUGGGCCACAUGGUGAAGGACGAAAACUGGACCCAGAGGCUGACUGGCCUGUGAGCCGCAUUUCCCAAAAUCUGUUUCCCGACUCAUGGUUCUGUGAGAUGUGACAGGGGCUCAGUUAGCAUUCCUGAGACUCGGGUUUUCAUCUGUGGGGCGGGGACAGCGGCGCCCUUUGCUGUGAGGCGUCAGGACUCAAGUGACGGUGAAUGGGGGGGCGGCCCACGGUUCCUGGCGGCCACUGAUCCUGUCUCUCUGUCAUGUGUGUACGUGCGUGUGUGCUCCACGCCUGG